UCUCAUUUAAGUCAUUUUCUUAGCAUCUUUGAGUCCCUUCAUUCUAUUUAGUCUUGACUGAAUGUAUUUAAUAAUAUGUAGCUGAUCUUUCUAAUGUUUUCUCAUAUGUUCUAUAUUGUCUAGUAGACUUCUUCCAAUUGACAAAUAGUAUCAGAAUGUCCACAAAGAAACAGGAUAGUGUGUAAUAUAUAUGAUUAUGGAUGCUAUGGAAUUGAAGGUGUGCUUUCUGAGGAAGCCCUUCAGGAAGAGGGUUAUUAGACAGGAUUCAAGAGCCAAUUUCUUGAGCCAAGUGACAGAACAGCUAAAGAGUACUAAGGAAAUAUUAAAUUGGAUGAUUUUUUUCUCAUUGGCUAGACUCUUACCUCUCUUUGAAAACAGAAGAUUGAGACUGAUAUAUUGGUAU
rnacentral:lncRNA from 1 species